GACGAACCGAGCGAACGUUGUUCGGAAUCACUGGGCUUAAAGGGCGCGUAGGCGGGUGCUCAAGUCUGUGGUGAAAUCCUCCGGCUCAACCGGAGAACUGCCAUGGAUACUGGGCGUCUCGAGUGUGGUAGGGGUAUGCGGAACUAUCGGUGGAGCGGUGAAAUGCGUUGAUAUCGAUAGGAACUCCGGUGGCGAAGGCGGCAUACUGGACCACCACUGACGCUGAUGCGCGAAAGCGUGGGGAGCAAACAGG
rnacentral:rRNA from 1 species